AGCAGCCGCGGUAAUUCCAGCUCCAAUAGCGUAUAUUAAAGUUGUUGCAGUUAAAAGCUCGUAGUUGAAUUUCGGGGUCAGUAGGUUGGUCAUGCCACUGGUAUGUACUGGUCUCACUGAUUCCUCCUUCCUGAUGAGCUGUAAUGCCAUUAAUUUGGUGUUGCGGGGAAUCUGGACUGUUACUUUGAAAAAUUAGAGUGUUUAAAGCAGGCUAACGCCUGAAUACAUUAGCAUGGAAUAAUGAAAUAGGACGUUCGAUCCUAUUUUGUUGGUUUCUAGGAUUGACGUAAUGAUUAAUAGGGAUAGUUGGGGGCAUUAGUAUUCCGUUGCUAGAGGUGAAAUUCUUGGAUCGUCGCAAGACGCACUACUGCGAAAGCAUUUGCCAAGAAUGUUUUCAUUAAUCAAGAACGAAAGUUAGAGGUUCGAAGGCGAUCAGAUACCGCCCUAGUUCUAACCAUAAACGAUGCCAACCAGCGAUCCGUCGGUGUUUAUUUGAUGACUCGACGGGCAGCUUCCGGGAAACCAAAGUGUUUGGG
rnacentral:rRNA from 1 species